AUUGAACGCUGGCGGAAUGCUUUACACAUGCAAGUCGAACGGCAGCACGGGGCAACCUGGUGGCGAGUGGCGAACGGGUGAGUAAUACAUCGGAACGUGCCCAAUCGUGGGGGAUAACGUAGCGAAAGUUACGCUAAUACCGCAUACGAUCUACGGAUGAAAGCGGGGGAUCGCAAGACCUCGCGCGAAUGGAGCGGCCGAUGUCAGAUUAGGUAGUUGGUGGGGUAAAGGCUCACCAAGCCAACGAUCUGUAGCUGGUCUGAGAGGACGACCAGCCACACUGGAACUGAGACACGGUCCAGACUCCUACGGGAGGCAGCAGUGGGGAAUUUUGGACAAUGGGCGCAAGCCUGAUCCAGCCAUUCCGCGUGCAGGAUGAAGGCCUUCGGGUUGUAAACUGCUUUUGUACGGAACGAAACGGUCUGCCCUAAUACGGCGGGCUAAUGACGGUACCGUAAGAAUAAGCACCGGCUAACUACGUG
rnacentral:rRNA from 1 species